rnacentral:rRNA from 1 species
ACGGCCCUAUGGGUUGUAAACUUCUUUUGUCGGGGAACAAAAGCCGAUUUGCGAAUUGGUCUGAGUGUACCCGAAGAAAAGCAUCGGCUAACUCCGUCGCC